GUUUGGUUAAGUUAGAAAGGGCGCACGGUGGAUGCCUUGACACUAGGAGUCGAUGAAGGACGGGACUAACGCCGAUAUGCUUCGGGGAGCUGUAAGUAAGCUUUGAUCCGAAGAUUUCCGAAUGGGGAAACCCACUAUACGUAAUGGUAUGGUAUCCUUACCUGAAUACAUAGGGUAUGGAAGACAGACCCAGGGAACUGAAACAUCUAAGUACCUGGAGGAAGAGAAAGCAAAUGCGAUUUCCUGAGUAGCGGCGAGCGAAACGGAACAUAGCCCAAACCAAGAGGCUUGCCUCUUGGGGUUGUAGGACAUUCUAUACGGAGUUACAAAGGAACGAGGUAGACGAAGCGACCUGGAAAGGUCCGUCGUAGAGGGUAACAACCCCGUAGUCGAAACUUCGUUCUCUCUUGAAUGUAUCCUGAGUACGGCGGAACACGUGAAAUUCCGUCGGAAUCUGGGAGGACCAUCUCCCAAGGCUAAAUACUCCCUAGUGAUCGAUAGU
rnacentral:rRNA from 1 species